ACCCCUGGAUCAGCGCUCAGCUCCAGGAUGUCAGAAAAGGAAACAGGAGGAGCCUGUAGAAGCAGCCAUGAUAGAAAGAGGGCUUUACUAGGUUCUGGGAGAGCCAGGCAGAUGGGGCCUGGUAGCAGAGGGGAGAGGUUUAGGGCAUUACUGUUUAAAUCUAAACAAGUGUCUAGAAAGAUAGUGAGUUGUUCUUCUGCCCAUCUGCAACCAGAGGCCAACGCUUACUUGCAAGGAUCAUCCCAUCUCUGGGAUUCUGACGCAGGCAUGGAAAAGAUAAUUAACUACAAGGAGCGGGAUGAGAACUGAGGCUCAGCUCUGCCUUCAGAGCUGGAACCCUGCCCAUGCCACCACAGCGGUAGUGAUGCUGGAGCCACUCACCUGGAACAAACCACUGGGCUCACUGCACGUGUCAGCAGCCCUGUGGACUUGAUAAAGACUGCUUUCACUGAUACCAUCUCUCAGCUUAUUAAGGCCUUAAAAAUAAUAAAAAGAAGACCUUCAAUAAGCAUCUGCUUAGUGAAACCUUACUGGAAUUCUCCAAAAAGCUCCAGAGUAGCUUCAUCUCCCAUCCUACAGCCCAGGAUCCCCUCUUCAAGUCUUUGAAGCCCUCCCAGCCCGCUAAGAAUGAGUCCGGCCCCGCCCAGCAGGUCACAGGCCUGGGCUCGUUAAUAAUUCACAAGUAAACAGGCCCAUCCACAAAGAGCCCUCGUAGAGGGCUGAACAAGUCACAGUUCUUCAGUAUUCCCUGGAGAGGGGCCCUGAGGGAGGACCAGGCCUGCUCCUUGGGCUGGGCCCUCCCUCACCAUGGACUCUGGCCACUACUAGCUGUGUAACCUUGGACAAGUCACUAUCUCACUCUGGCCCUCAGUUUCUCUCUUCCCACAAAAUAUAAAGGAGGGAGCAGACUGGACCAGGAGGUCAAAGGCACCUCCCGCUCUGAUGUUCUCGGCUCUGGGAUCUGAGCUCUUCUACUAAAGUCUGGUCUCUAGGAGCUGCUAAGCUUGGGUCUAAGGAAGGAGCCCCUGGUCAGGCACAAGGGACCAAGAACAAUUUUGACUGAAAAGAAGAUGCAGAAUGCUAAUGAGAGGCUUCUGGCACUGAGUGGCAUCCUGUCAGAAGUUAGAACUUGGGCUACAGAUUCAGGAAGAUCCAGCUGGAUUCCUGGCCCCACCAUGUCCUAGCCCUGUAGUCCCAAGCUGGGAAGGGAAUGGUGCAGGGAGCAGGUUUGCAAGCCAAGCCGUAUACGCCAGCUCUGGCACCCUGAACCAAUGAUUUCACCUCUGAAAUGGGGACAUUGAUGGCAGCAACCUCACUGGGUUGUUGCAAGGAUUAAAUGAGGUAAUAUACAGGCACAAACGAACCUAUCUACAAAACAGAAAUAGAGUCACAGACAAAGAGAAGACUGUGGUUGCCAAGAGGGUGGGGAAGGGAGGGGGAUGGACAGGGAGUUUGGGGUUGGUAGAGGCAAACCAUUAUAUUUAGAAUGGAUAAGCAAGGAGGUCCUACUGUAUAGAACAGGGAGCUAUAUCCUGUCUCAUUCAGUCUCUUGGGAUAGACUAUGAUGGAAGAUACUAUGAGAAAAAUAAUUGUAUGUAUGUAUACACACACACACACAUAUACAUGUGAAUGGAUCACUAUGUUGUACAGCAGAAAUUGACACAACACUGUAAAUCAAAUAUACUCUAAUGGAUUUUUUUUUUAAAAAAUGAGGCAAUAUACAUAAAGCACUUGGAAUGGGGCCAUAUCAUUAAUCUUUGGGUUUAGUGUCCUCGCCCAUAAAGCAGGGAUAACAAGAUUGUCAUGAGCAUUAAAUAAGCAAAUGGACUCAAAAGAGCUUUGGAACAAGGCUGUCCAGAAAAGAAGGGUUUCCCCUCUGAUGUACCAACCCCAGACCUGGCCAGGUCCACAAGGACAGAGCAGCAUCCAUCAGACACCUACGACGUGCCCUCAGGCCAAAUGUGCUGCCUCACUCACUGCUGGUGAAAGUAGAAAGUGGCACCUCUUUCUGAAAGGCAAUUGGAAUUAUGGGCUGAAAGCCUUAGAAAGAUGACCCGGUAGCACCUGUGCAGCAAAUAUCUUUUGUUUGCUGUUGUUGUUUUUAGCAAACCUGUCUUUUUUUUUUUUUUCUUUUUUUUUCCUGCUUUUUAGGGCCGCAUUAGCAGCAUAUGGAGAUUCCCAGGCUAGGGGUUCAAUCAGAGCUAUAGCUGCUGCAGCUACACCAGAUCUGAGCCACAUCUGCAACCGACACCACAGCUCACAGAAAUGCCCGAUCCUUAACCCACUGAGUGAGGCCAGGGAUCGAACCCUCAACCUCACGGUUCUUAGUCAGAUUCGUUUCUGCUGGGCCAUGCCAGGAACUCCAGCAAACAUGUCUUAAGAAAUAAUCACAGACAUAAAGAUUUAUGGUACAAGGAUGUUCAUCACAGUGUUUCCUAUAAUAAAGGUAGAGCUGGAAAUGACCCAAGUGCCCAUCCAUAAGGAAUUAGUUCAAUGAAUUAUAAUGUAUUUAGAGAGUGAACUAACCCACUAACCCCAUUCUGCUAUACCCUUUGUAACACAGAGGGAUGACUGCUAAAUAAAUAAAUAAAUAAAUAAAUAAAUAAAACCCUUGUUCUCACUCUCCUAAUUCCUUUGUUCUGUGUUAUUUUUCCAUAGCACUGUCUGACAUCUUGUAUAUUUUGUUUAUUCAUUUAGUCUGUCACCCCCUAUUAAAUUCUGUGCUCCACAAGGAGGUUUUUUUGUUUGUUUGUUUGUUUGUUUUAUCACUUUGUUCUCAGUGCCCAGCAUAGUGCCUGGUACAUUGUAGGUGCUCAAUAAAUGUUUACCGCAUGAAUGAGCU